rnacentral:rRNA from 1 species
GGGGAAUAUUGGACAAUGGGCGAAAGCCUGAUCCAGCCAUGCCGCGUGUGUGAAGAAGGUCUUCGGAUUGUAAAGCACUUUAAGUUGGGAGGAAGGGCAGUUACCUAAAAGGGGUUGGUUUGACGUUUCCGACCGAAAUAACCCCCGCCUAACUCUGUCCAAGCAGCCGCGGUAAUACAGAGGGUGCAAGCGUUAAUCGGAAUUACUGGGCGUAAAGCGCGCGUAGGUGGUUAGUUAAGUUGGAUGUGAAAUCCCCGGGCUCAACCUGGGAACUGCAUUCAAAACUGACUGACUAGAGUAUGGUAGAGGGUGGUGGAAUUUCCUGUGUAGCGGUGAAAUGCGUAGAUAUAGGAAGGAACACCAGUGGCGAAGGCGACCACCUGGACUGAUACUGACACUGAGGUGCGAAAGCGUGGGGAGCAAACA